ensembl:lncRNA
GGGGUAGAAAAUGUUUUUUAAUUUGAAUUGCUUCAGUGAAAUCCUAGAUCUAUCCAGGUUAACAAGGAAUCAGGUCUCUUGUCCAUAAUGAGUUAGUGGAGUUUGUUAGAAGUUGUUCAAAUUAUUAUUAGAAAAGUUUAGAAUAUGAAUCAGUCUACCUACAAACAAAUUAUUGAAAUGUUCAAGUCAAUCAAUUUAUUAAGUCCAUGUUUACUAGCUAAACUGAGCAUUGGGUUGGCCAUCUGUCUCCUCGGUGAGUGAUCUUCGUGAUGACUUGUCUCUCCAACCCUCGUCUCCAUGGUAGGUCCGCCCUCAUCUUUGGACAAAGCGUGGUAUGAUUGACAUACUGACUGCCCACAUAUUGUAUGCUCCGCUCACUUGGUAGAAACAUGGAACAUGUACAUUAUUUAAUCCAUAUAGGAAAUCAGAAUCACACAUUUUUCCUAUCUUAGUGAAAAUGUAUUUUGACGUCAUGUCUUGUUUAAAACAACAGACUUUGCCUCCUAUGACCAGCUUCUAGGAUUCUACAUCUUUAAUACAUUAAAUAAGCACAGAAUCACAAGAAUAAAUAUAACCGCAAGCGGUGAUUAAUGGGGUCCGAGCAAAAUGAAAAGUCAAGAACAGUAAUGGAAGAUGUAUAAAUAUGACAUAAUAAUAAAGGAAAGAUGUUGAUAUUCCCCUUAAUGCCAUACUGUGCCUCUGCUUUCAGGUGACUGGGCUGCAGAGCAAUGGCAAUAUCAUGAUCAGCUUGUUGAUAAUUGUCUAAUCGGGAUUCAAACUAUUGAUCACCAGUACAAGGCAUUAUCCCAUUGAGCCACUGACAAACCUGAAAUGUAGCUUCAUUCACAUGCUGAAAAUGUCUAUCGAUAAGCAUUCAACAUCCAGAAAACUCCAAGCAAACAUUUCUCAAAUGAAUUAAGGGCUUUCUUAAAAGCAAAUACCUGAAAAAUCUAUGAGAUUCUGUGGAAAUAAAAAUUUGUUGUCAAGAACUCUAACAGAAGAAAUAUAAUUUUUUUAUACAAUAACAAAAUGGUCAUAAAAAUGGGCUUACUGCUCCAACUUUAUUGGCCAAUAUUUCUCAAAUGGAACUAAGCAAGCUGAUAAUUUUUGUGAGGCUUGGUUUUAAGAUUUUAUGUGGCGAUUUUGGUGAAUUUUGGAUUAUUUUUGUAGCCGUGAAUCUUUUUUUUCAUGUUUAGCUUUAAUAUGAAAUUGUGGGAAAAGCAUACAUUUUUAGGACAUAAGAGCUAAAAAUGCGUCUGAUUCUAGAGAUUAAUAUUCUGAAAGAAUUUUGAGUCCAGGUCAAUCUGGUGAGGAGAAAUAAACCUAAAUCCAGAUUUUUUUUUACAAUAGAGCCACCUUUGGGUGCAGUAACACAAAUGUAGGUUUAUGGGUAGAGGGGGUUAUUGGUAACCAUACUUGAAAAUUUAAGAGUUUUCGACUUACGGUAUAGGCUGCAGUAUGACUUUUACAGAAUUUGAAAAAAAAGAAAACUUUACAGAAACAAUAUGGGCCAAGCAGCUUCGCUGCUCGGACCCCUAACUAGUCAUGUAUAAAACUUUGCCAUCCCGACGUUUCAAUGGAAGAGGUGGCUGUCCAUCAGAGAGCUGAGGUGCUGUGAUUGGCCAGAGGGGACGUUUGGCGAGGUUGAUGUCACUGCAUGCUGGGCACCAGUAUUGUCUGGCCCCACAAAGACGGAGGAAGAGGAAGAGAUGUAGGCAGGGAAACGGUUGCUAGGCAGCAUAUUGUUGCAAGGCAUCAUGUUUCUUGGCAUGCUGCUGUUGCUUGGCAUCAUGUUGUUGUUGCCAGGCAUCAUAUUGCUCUGAAGGAAGCUGGUGGCUUCGCAGGGCAAGGCUCGGAUUGAGGGAACAACUCCUCCUGUAGGGCACACAAGGUCACACACAUGAACACACGACAGGGAUGUCCUCACUAGGGAUGGGCAUAAUUAAUCGAUGCUCGAUAAUUGAUCGUUAAGAAAUGCGUCGAUCAAUUUAUAUUGUUAUCGAUCAAAAGGACGUUGUGUUGCAUACUGUGAGUCUUGAAGUAUUUAAUUGAAUAUAACCCUGCCGACUGGUGGAAAGUGAAUGGAAGAAGGUUCCCCAGGCUGUCAAAGUUAGCGCGACAAUACCUCUGCAUCCCCGCAACUUCGGUCCCGUCAGAGCGGGUGUUUUCUGCUGCUGGACUGACAGUUACAAGGCUGCGUUCGCGUCUGACCCCCGAGCAUGCUUAUAUUCCUAAACAAAAAUAUGUAGGCUGGAGUUACUGUAUGCUAUGGACAGUAGGGACAGUCACCACCGUAUGUGAGUCGCUCUAUUUUUUCUUAACGUGUUGUCUCUCGCUCCGCUUUUCUUUCGGCUUGGUGCCUCUUGGAGUCGUUACAUUUUGCCAAAACUGUGAUAUUUUAGCAACAAGUUCAGCCUUAUAUGUGUUCAAUAAGGUAUUUCUUUUAGAUAGACUAGUUCAUGCAAUUGUUUGUAAAUGGGUGGCUCAUCUUUUGUUGCGAGCCUUUUUCGC